rnacentral:rRNA from 1 species
GACGAACGCUGGCGGCGUGCUUAACACAUGCAAGUCGAGCGGUAAGGCCCUUUCGGGGGUACACGAGCGGCGAACGGGUGAGUAACACGUGGGUGACCUGCCCUCAGCUCUGGGAUAAGCCUGGGAAACCGGGUCUAAUACCGGAUAUGACUCCAUGACGCAUGUUGUGGGGUGGAAAGCCUUGUGCGGCUGAGGAUGGGCCCGCGGCCUAUCAGCUUGUUGGUGGGGUGAUGGCCUACCAAGGCGACGACGGGUAGCCGGCCUGAGAGGGCGACCGGCCACACUGGGACUGAGACACGGCCCAGACUCCUACGGGAGGCAGCAGUGGGGAAUCUUGCGCAAUGGGCGAAAGCCUGACGCAGCGACGCCGCGUGAGGGAUGAUGGCCUGG